CACCAGCGCCACAAGUGGCAACCGUAUUUAUUUGGCCUAAAGCGUUCGUAGCUGGUUGGGUAAAUCUUCUGUGAAAUUGUAUUGCUUAACAAUACAACGUGCAGGAGACACUGCUCAGCUAGGGACCGGGAGGGGUAUGGAGUAUUCUUGAGGGAGCGGUAAAAUGCUAUAAUCUCUUGCAGACUACCUGUGGCGAAGGCGCCAUACCAGCACGGAUCCGACAGUGAGGGACGAAAGCCAGGGGAGCAAUCCG
rnacentral:rRNA from 1 species